rnacentral:rRNA from 1 species
CCUACGGGUGGCAGCAGUGAGGAAUAUUGGUCAAUGGGCGCGAGCCUGAACCAGCCAAGUCGCGUGAGGGAAGACGGUCCUAUGGGUUGUAAACCUCUUUUAUCGGGGAGCAAAGUACGCCACGUGUGGCUUUCCGCAUGUACCCUAUGAAUAAGCAUCGGCUAACUCCGUGCCAGCAGCCGCGGUAAUACGGAGGAUGCGAGCGUUAUCCGGAUUUAUUGGGUUUAAAGGGUGCGUAGGCGGAGGAUAAAGUCAGCGGUAAAAUUGGGAGGCUCAACCUCUUAGAGCCGUUGAAACUGGCAGUCUUGAGUGCGCGAGAAGUAGGCGGAAUGCGUGGUGUAGCGGUGAAAUGCAUAGAUAUCACGCAGAACUCCGAUUGCGAAGGCAGCAUAC